rnacentral:rRNA from 1 species
AGAGUUUGAUCCUGGCUCAGAACAAACGCUGGCGGCGUGCCUAACACAUGCAGGUCGUACGUGAAAGUUCCGCAAGGAACGAGUAAAGUGGCGAACGGGUGAGUAAUACAUAGGUAAUCUACUUAUAAGUUCGGGAUAACAGUUCGAAAGGAUUGCUAAUACCGGAUAAUGUGCUUAGUCAAAAGAUUAAGUACCAAAGGUGGCCUCUUCACAAUGCUAUCGAUUAUAAAUGAGCCUAUGGACCAUUAGUUAGUUGGCAGGGUAAUAGCCUACCAAGACAAAGAUGGUUAGCUGGUCUGAGAGGAUGACCAACCACACUGAACUGAAACACGUCC